rnacentral:lncRNA from 1 species
AUGGUUCCUGCUACCCGAUUUGUCUUCUGCAAGGAUGGGUUGGAGGUGCGCAGCAUGAAAGCCCAAGAGGACAUGGUCAUCUACUCCAUUCAGAUGAACAUCUCUGUGAGAAGCAGUGGGACAUAUGCAUGUUUGUACCAGCAGAGGAGUGGGAAAAGCUGGCUGAGUUCUGCCCUCAGUCCUCCAUGGGACCUGCAUGUCACAGGUCUUGUGUCUGAUCACACAGCACGAGCUGCACCCCCAGGUGAGGGACUCUCCUUGGCUCCUGCUGAACCUACCCCUGCACCUUUUCCCUAUCCUUCCCCUCUUUUCCCAACCCAUCGUUAUGUCGCUGUUUCACCCCAACUCCUGCAUCACUCCCAUCUGACCCUAUCACCCUCUGUGUCCCCAGACCCCAACUCUCCUCUGAACCCCGUAGUCAUUCAUGUGGUAUUGGUUGCUGUCACCCUCCUCCUGUCUGCAGCCAGCUUCUGGAUCAUUAGGAAAGGUGAGGACUUGAGGGAACUGUGGGGGAUCCAUGAGACUGCCACAGCUUUGAUGUGAGACUGUUUUUCUUACAGGUGGCUGCGGGGAGAGAUGCCAAAGGUGAGCAGAAAGGCAAGGGACAGUAUCUCAACGGUGCUUUUGUCUCAGCGUUCACAGUGACAAAUCCCACUUGCAUGGCAGGUCUCACACUUCAGACUCUGCUAUUCUCCUUUCUUCAGUUCCCCUCACUAUGGUGUUUGUUUCAAGCACAGCCCAAAGCACAGCCCCACACUGGAGGAUGUGGCUGCGUACACAGACAGCAGUGGAGAAAUGUUAUGUAGAUGGCUCAACAAGCAUGGACAGCCACAAGGGGAGGAUGCUGUGGUGGGAACAGGGGAUGUAAGCCCACCACGCAUGCACCUUGCUCUGUUUGCAGCUCCAAUUUCAUUGCAGAGCAGCAGGCUGAAAUUUGCUGUGUAAAUGUAGAAAAUGCCUCAAAUGAUGGGAAACUGCCCCCAAAGCCCAUCAUCUCUGCUCCUCCAAAUCUUCUUGCACAGAGAGGGCAAAUGGGGUUGGGCAGCCAGUCUAGAGCUCAGAAUCUGCUGCCCAAACCAAUGGUGGGUCUUCCCUCUUCCCAAAUGAGUGCCGAGCACUCUUUUUUUUUUUUUUUGUUUUGUUUUGUUUUGUUUUGUUUUGUUUUGUUUUCUGUUUUUGUUUCUUUUUUUUUUUUUCCCCCACAGAUGCCACCAUUGCUCAUUUUAAAAGGGACAAGGUGAGUUGGGGCCCUUUCCCAUUGGAACCAAAGUGAUACGUUGCCCAGAGAUCUCAUUUUCUCACACAUCUCCUUUCCUCACGUUCUCUUUGCUUGCAGAAAAAUGGCAAAUCAUAAGAUAGGUACAGAACACAAGCAUAAAUGUAGAGAGUAAUCCUGGUACAAGAUGUUUGAAGUUCAGAUUUUCGGCUUAGAAAGGACAUGCUAGCUAGAAUCUCAUACAAAA